AUUGAACGCUGGCGGCAGGCCUAACACAUGCAAGUCGAGCGGUAGCACAGAGAGCUUGCUCUCGGGUGACGAGCGGCGGACGGGUGAGUAAUGUCUGGGAAACUGCCUGAUGGAGGGGGAUAACUACUGGAAACGGUAGCUAAUACCGCAUAANGUCGCAAGACCAAAGUGGGGGACCUUCGGGCCUCAUGCCAUCAGAUGUGCCCAGAUGGGAUUAGCUAGUAGGUGGGGUAACGGCUCACCUAGGCGACGAUCCCUAGCUGGUCUGAGAGGAUGACCAGCCACACUGGAACUGAGACACGGUCCAGACUCCUACGGGAGGCAGCAGUGGGGAAUAUUGCACAAUGGGCGCAAGCCUGAUGCAGCCAUGCCGCGUGUGUGAAGAAGGCCUUCGGGUUGUAAAGCACUUUCAGCGGGGAGGAAGGCGAUNAGGUUAAUAACCUNNUCGAUUGACGUUACCCGCAGAAGAAGCACCGGCUAACUCCGUGCCAGCAGCCGCGGUAAUACGGAGGGUGCAAGCGUUAAUCGGAAUUACUGGGCGUAAAGCGCACGCAGGCGGUCUGUCAAGUCGGAUGUGAAAUCCCCGGGCUCAACCUGGGAACUGCAUUCGAAACUGGCAGGCUAGAGUCUUGUAGAGGGGGGUAGAAUUCCAGGUGUAGCGGUGAAAUGCGUAGAGAUCUGGAGGAAUACCGGUGGCGAAGGCGGCCCCCUGGACAAAGACUGACGCUCAGGUGCGAAAGCGUGGGGAGCAAACAGGAUUAGAUACCCUGGUAGUCCACGCCGUAAACGAUGUCGAUUUGGAGGUUGUGCCCUUGAGGCGUGGCUUCCGGAGCUAACGCGUUAAAUCGACCGCCUGGGGAGUACGGCCGCAAGGUUAAAACUCAAAUGAAUUGACGGGGGCCCGCACAAGCGGUGGAGCAUGUGGUUUAAUUCGAUGCAACGCGAAGAACCUUACCUGGUCUUGACAUCCACAGAACUUUCCAGAGAUGGAUUGGUGCCUUCGGGAACUGUGAGACAGGUGCUGCAUGGCUGUCGUCAGCUCGUGUUGUGAAAUGUUGGGUUAAGUCCCGCAACGAGCGCAACCCUUAUCCUUUGUUGCCAGCGGUUAGGCCGGGAACUCAAAGGAGACUGCCAGUGAUAAACUGGAGGAAGGUGGGGAUGACGUCAAGUCAUCAUGGCCCUUACGACCAGGGCUACACACGUGCUACAAUGGCAUAUACAAAGAGAAGCGACCUCGCGAGAGCAAGCGGACCUCAUAAAGUAUGUCGUAGUCCGGAUUGGAGUCUGCAACUCGACUCCAUGAAGUCGGAAUCGCUAGUAAUCGUAGAUCAGAAUGCUACGGUGAAUACGUUCCCGGGCCUUGUACACACCGCCCGUCACACCAUGGGAGUGGGUUGCAAAAGAAGUAGGUAGCUUAACCUUCGGGAGGGCGCUUACCACUUUGUGAUUCAUGACUGGGGUGAAG
rnacentral:rRNA from 3 species